CUGGGGAGAGCCAAGUGUUGUUGGGACCACCUGGCAGAUACAGGUGGCUGAACCACGUUAAGUCCUCUACAUAAACUUUGAGAUUCUGGAAGGUGCUCGCGAGAUCUACUCACCAAGGACAAGGCUCCCAAUUUUUGCUGACAAGGAAUGGGAUCUGAAGCUGAGUGCGAAUGGCACGCAGGACAAGUUGCAGAGGCCAGGCACCCAUGGAAGCCUUUGAAUUCACUCCUCCUCUAGUCUUUACCAAGGCCAUGGGUCAUUGCUGCUGAAAGUGUUUAUUGCAAUAGGUGAUGCCCAUGUUCUGAUCCAUGGACCACACUGAGUAGCAAGGUUUGAAG